GAGGAUAUAGCUCAAGUGGUAGAGCAAAUGCUUAGCACGCACAAGGUCCUGGGUUCAAUCCCUGGUACCUCCU
rfam:Camelus ferus unplaced genomic scaffold scaffold589, whole genome shotgun sequence.